rnacentral:rRNA from 1 species
AACGAACGCUGGCGGCAGGCCUAACACAUGCAAGUCGAGCGCACCCUUCGGGGUGAGCGGCGGAGGGGUGAGUAACGCGUGGGAACGUGCCCUUCUCUGCGGAAUAGCCUCGGGAAACUGAGAGUAAUACCGCAUACGCCCUUUGGGGGAAAGAUUUAUCGGAGAAGGAUCGGCCCGCGUUGGAUUAGGUAGUUGGUGGGGUAAUGGCCCACCAAGCCGACGAUCCAUAGCUGGUUUGAGAGGAUGAUCAGCCACACUGGGACUGAGACACGGCCCAGACUCCUACGGGAGGCAGCAGUGGGGAAUCUUAGACAAUGGGGGCAACCCUGAUCUAGCCAUGCCGCGUGAGUGAUGAAGGCCUUAGGGUUGUAAAGCUCUUUCAGCUGGGAAGAUAAUGACGGUACCAGCAGAAGAAGCCCCGGCUAACUCCGUG